rnacentral:rRNA from 1 species
GAUGAACGCUAGCUACAGGCUUAACACAUGCAAGUCGAGGGGAAACGGCAUCGAAAGCUUGCUUUUGAUGGGCGUCGACCGGCGCACGGGUGAGUAACGCGUAUCCAACCUGCCCAUCACUUGGGAAUAACCUUGCGAAAGUAAGACUAAUGCCCAAUGACAUCCCACGAAGGCAUCCGAAUGGGAUUAAAGAUUUAUCGGUGAUGGAUGGGGAUGCGUCUGAUUAGCUUGUUGGCGGGGUGACGGCCCACCAAGGCAACGAUCAGUAGGGGUUCUGAGAGGAAGAUCCCCCACAUUGGAACUGAGACACGGUCCAAACUCCUACGGGAGGCAGCAGUGAGGAAUAUUGGUCAAUGGGCGAGAGCCUGAACCAGCCAAGUAGCGUGCAGGAUGACGGCCCUAUGGGUUGUAAACUGCUUUUAUAAGGGAAUAAAGUGGGUCACGUGUGACUUUUUGCAUGUACCUUAUGAAUAAGGACCGGCUAAUUCCGUG